AACGAACGCUGGCGGCGUGCUUAACACAUGCAAGUCGAACGCGAACGUUUUCUUCGGGAAACUAGUAGAGUGGCGCACGGGUGAGUAACGCGUAAGUAACCUACCCUCGCAUCUGGGAUAACCCACCGAAAGGUGUGCUAAUACCAGAUACGUCUGGAAUUAUACAUUGACUUCAGAGAAAGGUGGCCUCUGAUAUAAGCUACUGUGCGGGGAGGGGCUUGCGUACCAUUAGCUAGUUGGUAGGGUAACGGCCUACCAAGGCGAUGAUGGUUAGCGGGUCUGAGAGGAUGAUCCGCCACACUGGAACUGGAACACGGACCAGACUCCUACGGGAGGCAGCAGUGAGGAAUAUUGCGCAAUGGGGGCAACCCUGACGCAGCGACGCCGCGUGGAUGAUGAAGGCCUUCGGGUUGUAAAAUCCUGUCAGAUGGGAAGAAGUGGCAUUUAGUUAAUACCUGAGUGUCUUGACGGUACCAUCAAAGGAAGCACCGGCUAACUCCGUGCCAGCAGCCGCGGUAAUACGGAGGGUGCAAGCGUUGUUCGGAAUUACUGGGCGUAAAGCGCGCGUAGGCGGCUAUCUAAGUC
rnacentral:rRNA from 1 species